rnacentral:snRNA from 1 species
GGAUAUGAGGGCGAUCUGGCUGCAACAUCUGUCACCCCAUUGAUCACCAGGGCUGAUUCGGCUGAUCUGGCUGGCUGCCCCCUUCCUCCCUCACCGCUCCAUUUGUGUCCCUCCAGAAGCUGCGUGCUCUGUGGAAGAUGACGGCCUUCCCCAAAUAGAGAAGGGCCAGUCUUCAGUCGAGGGUAUACGAGUAGCUGUGUUCCCCUGCUAGAACCUCCAGACAAGCUCUCAAGAAUGCUAGUUUGAACCUCUACUCCCCCACUGACAAGGGGGACGCUUCAGGAAGCAGGAGUGGUGAAGCAGGCCUACAGGUGUCUAUUUUU